AAUACAUCUAUCGGAUACAUGCAUAUAUUGCUGGUAGAAAUGUAGGUAGGUACUGCCACUAUGGAAAAUGAGUUACCUUUUAUAAGUCUCAAUAAGCAUCUUACCAAAUGCACUUGGGGAAGGGAGGUUUUAGAAAAUUUAAGAUUAAUUUUUUGACAAAACACUAUCAGUGAACCCAGAAUAGAUUAAAAAGGCAGAAGUCGAUCACUUACAGCUUUGAAACCAAAUACAUAGCCUCCAGUACAGUCUUGACCCAGCAAGGUCAUGGAGGAAGUUGAGCUCAAGCCAGAGUGGUAGCAAACAGAAAAGAAAAGGGAGAGGGUACUAUGUGUGGCAUGCAAGGCAGUGCUGGAUGAUUUUCCCUGGCUCCAUGAGGACUGGAUAACUUAAAACAAUUGUUCUGAGUUCUCAGUUUUGAGGCAUAGGGGUUACUCCUGGUUGGUGCUUGGCCCUAGUCUGUGAAAAUUAUGUGUAGGAAAUUAGUCAAGAAAGAUGAUGGUUCCACUGAUCUUUGGCCAGAGCCUCAGAACGUGAUCAAUAUAGCAUAACAGCAACAACAACAACAA